rnacentral:rRNA from 1 species
AUUGAACGCUGGCGGCAUGCUUUACACAUGCAAGUCGGACGAGUGGCGAACGGGUGAGUAACGCAUCGGAACGUACCGAGUAAUGGGGUAUAACUGUCCGAAAGGAUAGCUACUACUGCAUAUUAUUCGAGCGGCCGAUGUCUGAUGAGCUGGUUGGCGGGGUAAAGGCCCACCAAGGCGACGAUCAGUAGCGGGUCUGAGAGGAUGAUCCGCCACACUGGGACUGAGACACGGCCCAGACUCCUACGGGAGGCAGCAGUGGGGAAUUUGGGGCAAUGGGCGCAAGCCUGAUCCAGCCAUGCCGCGUGUCUGAAGAAGGCCUUCGGUUUGUAAAGGACUGUUGUCAGAGAAGCGGUAUCUGAACAAUAAGCACCGGCUAACUACGUGCCAGCAGCCGCGGUAAUAC